rnacentral:tRNA from 1 species
UGGGGGAUAGUUUAGAGGCAAAACUCUCGACUCUGGAUCGAGCGACCAAGGUUCGAAUCCUUGUCCCCCAGCCA